GACCUGAUAGCACAAUGGUUAGUGUCUCUGCAAUAGUUGUUUGUAUGAGGAAAGUGAUUUAAGCAGAGGAUCCCCGUUCGAUUCGGGGUCAGGUCG